CUUCAACUCCUGACCUCAAGUAAUCUGCCCGCCUCGGCCUCCCGAAGUGCUGGGAUUACAGGCGUGACCCACCGCGCCCGGCAGAUGAGGAAACUGACCUUUAGAAAGAAUGUUUUUCAGACUGAACCUAUCCAGAAUUGUGAUUCAUGACUCACCAGAUCCUGUGGCCCCCCUAUCCAGGGGUGCACUCAGCACAUGAGGACGCCUGUGAUUCUGCCCCUAUGAGUUCAUCCCCAACCAGUCAGCAAUACCCAUUCCUU
rnacentral:lncRNA from 1 species